CGCCUACGGGCGGCUGCAGUAGGGAAUCUUCCACAAUGGACGCAAGUCUGAUGGAGCAACGCCGCGUGAGUGAAGAAGGUUUUCGGAUCGUAAAGCUCUGUUGUUGGUGAAGAAGGAUAGAGGCAGUAACUGGUCUUUAUUUGACGGUAAUCAACCAGAAAGUCACGGCUAACUACGUGCCAGCAGCCGCGGUAAUACGUAGGUGGCAAGCGUUGUCCGGAUUUAUUGGGCGUAAAGCGAGCGUAGGCGGAAUGAUAAGUCUGAUGUGAAAGCCCACGGCUCAACCGUGGAACUGCAUCGGAAACUGUCAUUCUUGAGUGCAGAAGAGGAGAGUGGAACUCCAUGUGUAGCGGUGGAAUGCGUAGAUAUAUGGAAGAACACCAGUGGCGAAGGCGGCUCUCUGGUCUGCAACUGACGCUGAGGCUCGAAAGCAUGGGUAGCGAACAGGAUUAGAUACCCGGGUAGUC
rnacentral:rRNA from 1 species